rnacentral:rRNA from 1 species
AUGAACGCUGGCGGCGUGCCUAAUACAUGCAAGUCGAACGAAUCUCUUUUAGAGAUGAGUGGCGAACGGGUGAGUAAUACAUAGGUAACCUGCCCCUGUGCGGGGGAUAACAGGAGGAAACUCCUGCUAAUACCGCAUAGCCAUGAGCACCGCAUGGAGCUCAUGCCAAAUAUCCUUUCGGGGAUAGCGCAGGGAUGGACCUAUGGCGCAUUAGCUGGUUGGCGGGGCAACGGCCCACCAAGGCAACGAUGCGUAGCCGGCCUGAGAGGGCGGACGGCCACAUUGGGACUGAGACACGGCCCAGACUCCUACGGGAGGCAGCAGUAGGGAAUUUUCGGCAAUGGGGGAAACCCUGACCGAGCAACGCCGCGUGAGCGAAGAAGGCCUUCGGGUCGUAAAGCUCUGUUGUAAAGGAAGAACGGCGCAUACAGGAAAUGGUAUGCGAGUGACGGUACUUUACCAGAAAGCCACGGCUAACUACGUGCCAGCAGCCGCGGUAAUACGUAGGUGGCGAGCGUUAUCCGGAAUCAUUGGGCGUAAAGAGGGAGCAGGCGGCCGCAAGGGUCUGUGGUGAAAGACCGAAGCUAAACUUCGGUAAGCCAUGGAAACCGGGCGGCUAGAGUGCGGAAGAGGAUCGUGGAAUUCCAUGUGUAGCGGUGAAAUGCGUAGAUAUAUGGAGGAACACCAGUGGCGAAGGCGACGGUCUGGGCCGCAACUGACGCUCAUUCCCGAAAGCGUGGGGAGCAAAUAGGAUUAGAUACCCUAGUAGUCCACGCCGUAAACGAUGGUCACUAAGUGUCGGGGGUCAAACCCCGGUGCUGCAGUCAACGCAAUAAGUGACCCGCCUGAGUAGUACGUUCGCAAGAAUGAAACUCAAAGGAAUUGACGGAAG